rnacentral:misc_RNA from 1 species
AACAUCGCGCACCUGCGGGAACCUGCGGAGGGAUCAUUACAGGACUCGCAAGACUCCUUAAACCCCUGUGAACUUACUGUUUAUACGUUGCUUCGGCGGGUGCUCCGGGGUCCGCCCCGGGGCGCUGCGCCCGCCGGCAGCCUACUUAAUUCUGUUUCUCUGCGUUGGCAUCUCGAGUAAGCAAAAUAAGUUAAAACUUUCAACAACGGAUCU